rnacentral:rRNA from 1 species
GUGGGGAAUAUUGCACAAUGGGCGAAAGCCUGAUGCAGCGACGCCGCGUGAGCGAAGAAGUAUUUCGGUAUGUAAAGCUCUAUCAGCAGGGAAGAUAAUGACGGUACCUGACUAAGAAGCACCGGCUAAAUACGUGCCAGCAGCCGCGGUAAUACGUAUGGUGCAAGCGUUAUCCGGAUUUACUGGGUGUAAAGGGAGCGCAGGCGGUGCGGCAAGUCUGAUGUGAAAGCCCGGGGCUCAACCCCGGUACUGCAUUGGAAACUGUCGUACUAGAGUGGCGGAGGGGUAAGUGGAAUUCCUAGUGUAGCGGUGAAAUGCGUAGAUAUUAGGAGGAACACCAGUGGCGAAGGCGGCUUACUGGACGAUAACUGACGCUGAGGCUCGAAAGCGUGGGGAGCAAACAGGAUUAGAUACCCGAGUAGUCC